GAGCAAGGCCAGCCUGAAUGCCUCAGCCUGGGGAGCCACCAUUCAGGGCUAAAUUGACAGCUCAGAGAUACAGGAGUUCAGCCUGCUAAUUUGCUGCAAGAUACGGCAAAGGAAAGCCACUGACACCUGCGUCUCCAGCUGCCAGGAAGUGGGGCGAAUUUGCCAGUGACUUUGUCGUUGUCUAGCCACAGUGAGUAGUCCCAUGUUCCUCCUCCUCCAAGGACUUCCUUGGGAGAAUUUCAGAGCUUCUCUAGAAGAGAGUGAGUCCCAUUUCUUUCCUGAAAAUUCCUGGGAUGACGACGACUGGUCCACCCAGCUUGGGUCAGCUGCCUUCCCCUAACCCAGUCAGCUCCGGACAGGCCCAUCGUUCAGCAUCGCUGCAUGCAUGGUAAACCCGGAAGAUGUAGGCGGUUUCCAGAAAAGCGUGGGCAGGAACAUUUCUUCUGAUUUUUCUCGUCACCCCACCAAAGGGCCAAUCUAGCAAACCAGGCUAUACUCCUAACUUGGGAGAUGGGAACACUGAACACGAGACAGACAGACAGACAGAGAGGUUGGCCUUUCAUCUGUAUUGUGCAUGGAGCGAUCACAUCUAGUAUGAAAACACACUCUGCUCAGAUGUACUCACUCCUUGAGAGAAGAUGGCGGGAAAGACGCUCUAUCUUGGGAUUAUUAUUAAUUAAGAAAGGCUCAUGGGGGCUUCCCUGGUGGCACAGUGGUUGAGAGUCCGCCUGCCGAUGCAGGGGACACGGGUUCGUGCCCUGGUCCGGGAAGAUCCCACAUG